ACUCCUACGGGAGGCAGCAGUGGGAAUCUUGGACAAUGGGGGAAACCCUGAUCCAGCCAUGCCGCGUGAGCGAUGAAGGCCUUAGGGUUGUAAAGCUCUUUCAGGUGGGAAGAUAAUGACGGUACCACCAGAAGAAGCCCCGCUAACUCCGUGCCAGCAGCCGCGGUAAUACGGAGGGGCGUAGCGUUGUUCGGAAUUACUGGGCGUAAAGCGCACGUAGGCGGAUU
rnacentral:rRNA from 1 species